UGCAGCUCCAGGUCCACAGGCCCCAGUGGUCCCCUGUCCGGUGGUGAGGCCUGUGGCUCCAGCCAGGGCGCAGGGCAGUUGCAGCCGAUGCACCUGGCGGUGGCGAGUGAGGCUCUGCGGGUAGCCGAAGACUUUGCCGCACAGCUCGCACUUGUAGGGCCUCUCUCGGGUGUGCACCACGUGGUGCUUGCUCAGAUGGAAGGACUCCCGGAAACGCUUCCCGCACACGGGGCACUGGUGGGGUUUCUCGCCGGUGUGGAUGCGUUCGUGUCGCUUUAGGGUCUCGCGGCGCCCAAACGCGCGACCACAGAUGCCACAGCAGAACGUCUUGCCUGGGCCACUCGCGCCCGGGCCGCCAGCACCGCCAUUCCCUGCACCUCCAAGCAGCAGAGGAUGUGCGCUGAGAAGUGGGACAGGCACUGCACCAUACACCACAGCCGCUGCGGCCG
rnacentral:lncRNA from 1 species